AUUGAACGCUGGCGGCAGGCCUAACACAUGCAAGUCGAAUGGUAACAGGAAACAGCUUGCUGUUUCGCUGACGAGUGGCGGACGGGUGAGUAAUGUCUGGGAAACUGCCUGAUGGAGAGGGAUAACUACUGGAAACGGUAGCUAAUACCGCAUAACGUCGCAAGACCAAAGAGGGGGACCUUCGGCCCCCUUCCCUUCAAUGUUCCCAGAUUGGAUUAGCUAGUAGGUGGGGUAACGGCUCACCUAGGCGACGAUCCCUAGCUGGUCUGAGAGGAUGACCAGCCACACUGGAACUGAGACACGGUCCAGACUCCUACGGGAGGCAGCAGUGGGGAAUAUUGCACAAUGGGCGCAAGCCUGAUGCAGCCAUGCCGCGUGUAUGAAGAAGGCCUUCGGGUUGUAAAGUACUUUCAGCGGGGAGGAAGGGAGUAAAGUUAAUACCUUUGCUCAUUGACGUUACCCGCAGAAGAAGCACCGGCUAACUCCGUG
rnacentral:rRNA from 1 species